rnacentral:rRNA from 1 species
UACGUAGGGUGCGAGCGUUGUCCGGAAUUAUUGGGCGUAAAGAGCUUGUAGGCGGUCUGUCGCGUCUGCUGUGAAAAUCCGGGGCUCAACCCCGGACUUGCAGUGGGUACGGGCAGACUAGAGUGUGGUAGGGGAGACUGGAAUUCCUGGUGUAGCGGUGAAAUGCGCAGAUAUCAGGAGGAACACCGAUGGCGAAGGCAGGUCUCUGGGCCACUACUGACGCUGGAGAAGCG